CAGCCGUAAACAAUGUGCGUUAGGUGUGUCGGUAACCACGUGUUACUGAUGCGCCGAAGAGAAAUCGUGAAACGCACCACCUGGGAAGUACGGUCGCAAGGCUGAAACUUAAAGGAAUUGGCGGGGGAGCACCACAACAGGUGGAGCCUGCGGUUUAAUUGGAUUCAACGCCGGACAUCUCACCGGAUAAGACAGCUGAAUGAUUGUCAAUCUGAAGGUUUUACAUGACUAGCUGAGAGGUGGUGCAUGGCGGUAG
rnacentral:rRNA from 1 species